rnacentral:pre_miRNA from 1 species
AAAAAGACAAACCCUGGUUUCCGUGUCCAACGUUUGACCGUCCGUCUUAUUUGAAAAAAUUAUGAAAAAAAUUAAAAAUAUAAGUCACGCAUAAAGUAUUAAUCAUGUUUUAUCAUCUAACAACAAUGAAAAUACUAAUUAUAAAAAAAUUUCAUAUAAGACGGACAGUCAAACGUUGGCACGGGAACCCACGGUUUGCCUUUUU